rnacentral:misc_RNA from 1 species
GAUGAAGAACGUAGCGAAUUGCGAUAAGUAAUGUGAAUUGCAGAUUUUCAGUGAAUCAUCGAAUCUUUGAACGCACAUUGCGCCCCCUGGUAUUCCGGGGGGCAUGCCUGUCCGAGCGUCAUUGCUGCCCUCAAGCACGGCUUGUGUGUUGGGCCUCCGUCCUCCUCCCGGGGGACGGGCCCGAAAGGCAGCGGCGGCACCGCGUCCGGUCCUCGAGCGUAUGGGGCUUCGUCACCCGCUCUUGUAGGCCCGGCCGGCGCUUGCCGACACAUCAAUCUUUUUUCCAGGUUGACCUCGGAUCAGGUAGGGAUACCCGCUGAACUUAAGCAUAUCAAUAGCGGAGGA